GGGGAUUUAGCUCAGUGGUAGAGCACUUGCCUAUCAAGCACAAGGCCCUGGGUUCGGUCCCCAGCUCCG
rnacentral:tRNA from 1 species